UAGAUUUUAAGUUGCUUGCACGUGCAUAAAGCAUAAAAAUAUUUUAUUAAAUAAAAUUAGACAUUUCCUGUAAGGAACAUUCCAAAGUGCAUCUAAAACAUUCUGGGAAAUAAUACUUCCAGAGCUCUUGUGGACUUUACAAUUUCAAUUUUACUGAAGAUUACAGGUUACAUUCCCACCAUUACAUUGACAUUCCCACUGUUACUAUACUUGAAUAUAAAAAAAACAACACAGUAAUGCCUGUUUUCAUUAUGCAACAGUUCAGUCGUUUAAAUCUUACGCAGAAAUGUCUUAAACAAACAAUCAUUCACAUUUAUAACUUCACCAUUCUUUUAACAGUAAGAUAAUAACCAACAAGAUGAAAGAAUGUAACAAGCUAUCCAGUAGGAUUGAAGGUUAUAGAGAUGCAAUAAACAAUAAGACUGGAGUUUUAUAUGUACAAGUUAUCCUUUAAACCGAGAAUUGGUGGAAAUUUACUCAAUAAAUUGAAAUUUUAGGACAAAAUAGCCAAGCUCAAAGAGUA